rnacentral:misc_RNA from 1 species
GUACAUUAGUGCUUGCGCACGACAAUAGUUUUCAUUACAUUCGAGUGUGUGUAUAAAAAUCCUCUGCCGGCCAAAGCUAGCAAGAGGCCAAAGGUUCACAAGGGUAUUGGAAUGAAAGCCACCGACGUGCACUUGCAGGGGCCAGCACAGAAGGCAACAGUUUACAAUCAAUAAUGAUCCUUCCGCAGGUUCACCUACGGAAA